AAUCCUAGACCAGGAGUCCUUCCAUCUCUCUUCCAGAAAUCAAAAAGUGAUGGCUGGCUGACUGACCUCAGAGAAAUACAUUUAAAGACAUCAAGAAUGGUACACAAACAAGCCUGGACCGAGAGAAGGCAUCUAUCUCCUUCCAGAGAAGCUCCUCAGACAGCGCUGAUUCCGUGGCCUUGCUCUGUUACUGUCUCUGAAUGCAGACGCCUCACUGCCAGGGGCUGGGCACAGUUUCUGCGACCUCCAGCAGUGCGUGGUCUUUUGGUCACUCAAAUCCUGUCACUGACUUCAGAUGCUGCUCUUGUAGAUGUUUGAAUUGCCUUUAGCUCUCUAUGAAGAAUGUGCUGGCAAGGCCACGUAUGGAAAGACUGGGACAUAUGACAGAAUUACAGUCUAGUUAAAAAAGAAAAUAUGCACAUACAUAUAUGUGUAUUUGUUUCCAGAGGUCUUGGCUUUAAAGACGAGUUUGCAUAUAUUUGCCAUAAAUUUGCAUAUAUUUGGCACAAAUUUUCCUAGUCUGUUUGUCAGUCUCUACUUCCAGAUGAAGUUACAUGAGAACACCUUAUUUACUCUACAAUAACUUACGUUUUCCCCCUUGGACCCAUGUUACGUUAUAUUGGCUGUGUUACUAAUGUACCAAGUUCCCCUGGUUUAUCCUCCACUUCCGAGAAUUUGUUCUAGUUUUUAAGAAAUGCUUACUAACUAUAACCAUUGUUUGUUGUGGAACCCAGCCCUGAAGGACACCAGGAGGCCUCUGUGAACUGGCGGCUUCUGUUAGGUAUUGUCUGUAGAGACACUGGGUUCUCCAGAGACACCCCGCAGAGCCCUCCAAAAAGGAUUAGCUAGUAAAUUGGGCCUUUAAUUGUAUUUAUAUAAAUUAAACGUUAUGUUUAUAUUUAUAUGAGAAGGAUUAUAAUUAAAACUUAUAUGUGUAUAGAAAAGGAUUUUACCAAAGUACUGGAACCUGCAUCACGACUGUUCCCAAACGUAACGUUGGGGAUGUUAAUCACUGUUCAAGAACCAGUCACCAAGCCGACCGAUGUCACUGAGUGAGAGCCCAGGCGAGCUGCGUCUGCUCCCUGUUGCUGCUUCCUCUUCCGGAAAGUGAGGCUGUGACAGCGGCCUCUGUGUUUCCCACACCUCAGGAUCCAGGCAUCACCUUAAUAAGUUUUCCCACAUCCUUCUAUCACUUAUACUGUUAUUUACUUCAUGUUUUUCUGGAAUUUAAUAACUUUUAAAACUUAAAUUGGCAUCAUCUACCUUACCUUAGGCCUAAGCAAAGACAUCUGUGAAAUGACAGAUUUGAUGUACUCUUUCUUUCUUUUUUUGUACAUUAAAAUAAAUAUAUAACUCUCAAAAAUUGUAAAAGAUGCUCAUCUGUAUUCACUUGAGAUUUUCUCAGGUACCACUGCACUUUGAGAACUGCGGCCAAAAAGUGGAAUAAGACGCAUCAAGAGCUUGCUGCAGGCCUGGCCACAGCAGUACCGGCAGCUGUGCUUAUGGUCGCUGCGGUGGCCAAGAGAGCCCGUUUCCUACUGCAACAUUCUCCUGCCUUCACAGAGCAGAACGCUGGCUUUCACCUGGGCACAGAGCUAAAAAACUACAUUUCCCAGAAUUCCCUGCAGCUACAUAUAACCUUGGGACUAUGUUUUGGACUCUGAGACAUCACAAAAUCUUUGGUGAAAUUUCUGGGAAACCCCCUUAAGAAAGAGAAGGCAUAUAGUUCUGCAACUUCUUCCAUUUUGCUUACUCAGACUUGGAUAGGAAGGCAGCCGUCUCCAACCAUAAAGAUGAGGGCCGUCUCCCAGGAACGGCAGAACCCACAGCCAGAGGGGCUCAGCUCUUGAUCCUUGUAUGGGCUUGCCAUGGUAGCCCUGGACUGUUUAUCUCUGGACUUCAUUUACACAAGGGAGAAGAAAUAAACUUCUUGUUUAA